UUGAUUCUGUCAUAAAUUUGUCAUGGAUGUACAUGCAUGACAAAAAACGUGACCUAUUGUGACAAACACGUAUCAUCACGGAAGUGUAUUUUCUUGUAGUGUUAUCCCUCUACAUCAUGUCAUCUUACUUAAGGCGUUACUCCGUUCUUAUGAACUUAAUACUCUAGAUGCAUGCUGGAUAGAGGUCGAUGCUGGAUAGAGGUCCAUGUGUGGAGUAAUAGUCGUAGAUGCAGGCAGGAGUUGGUCUACUUGACACGGACGUGAUGCCUAUAUGCAUAGUCAUUGCCUUGGAUAUGCAGGCAGUGGUACUUUGUUUUGAUGACUAAUAAAUUUUUGCAAUAAGUAUGUGAGUUCUUUAUGACUAAUGUUGAGUCCAUCGAUUAUACACACUCACCCUUCUACCAUUGCUAGCCUCUCUAGUACCACGCAACUUUCACCGGUGCAUUAAACCAACCAUUUACCCUUCCUCAAAACAGUCACCAUAUCUACCUACUAUGGCAUUUCCAUAUCCAUUCCGAGAUAUAUUGCCAUGCAACUUCCACCAUUCCGUUUAUUAUGACACGCACCGUCAUUGUCAUAUUGCUUCGCAUGAUCGUAAGAUAGCUAGCAUGAUGUUUUAUGGCUUGUCCGUUUUUUAUGUCAUUUGCUACGCUAGAUCAUUGCACAUACCGGUACACCGCCGGAGGCAUUCAUAUAGAGUCAUAUUUUGUUCUAAAUAUCGAGUUGUAAUUCUUGAGUUGUAAGUAAAUAAAAGUGUGAUGAUCAUCAUUAUUAGAGCAUUGUCCCAAGUGAGGAAAGGAUGAUGGAAGCUAUGAUUCCCUCACAAGUUGGGAUGAGUCUCUAGACUUUACAAAAAUAAAAGAGGCCAAAGAAGCCCACCAAAAAAAGAGAAAAAGAGAGAAAAGAGAGAAGGGGCAAUGCUACCAUCCUUUUUCCACACUUGUGCUUCAAAGUAGCACCAUAAUCUUCAUGAUAGAGAGUCUCCUAUGUUGUCACUUUCAUAUACUAGUGGGAUUUUUUCAUUAUAGAACUUGGCUUGUAUAUUCCAAUGAUGGAGUUCCUCAAAUUGCCCUAGGUCUUCAUGAGCAAGCGAGUUGGAUGCACACCCGCUUAGUUUCUUUUUAAGCUUUUAUAAACUUAUAGCUCUAGUGCAUCCGUUGCAUGGCAAUCCCUACUCACUCGCAUUGAUAUCUAUUGAUGGACAUCCCCAUAGCCCGUUGAUAUGCCUAGUUGAUGUGAGACUAUCUCCUUCUUUUUGUCUUCUCCACAACCACCAUAUUCUAUUCCACCUAUAGUGUUAUAUCCAUAACUCACGCUCAUGUAUUGCGUGAAACUUGAAAAAGUUUGAGAACAUCAAAAGUAUGAAACAAUUGCUUGGCUUGUCAUCGGGGUUGUGGAUGAUUUAAUACUUUGUGUGCUGAAGAUGGAGCAUAGCCAGACUACAUGAUUUUGUAGGGAUAACUUUCUUUGGCCAUGUUAUUUUGAGAAGACACAAUUAUUUUAUUAGUAUGCUUGAAGUAUUAUUGUUUUUAUGUCAAUAUUAAACUUUUGUUUUGAAUCUUAUGGAUCUGAAUAUUCAUGCCACAGUAAAGAAAAAAACAUGGAUAAAUAUGUUAGGUAGCAUUCCACAUAAAAAAUUCUGUUUUUAUCAUUUACCUACUCAAGGACGAGAAAGAAUUAAGCUUGGGGAUGCUUGAUACGUCUCCAACGUAUCUAUAAUUUUUUAUUGUUCUAUGCUAUUAUAUUAUCGGUUUUGGAUGUUUUAUAUGCAUUAAUAUGCUAUUUUAUAUUAUUUUGGGACUAACUUAUUAACCUAGAGCCCAGUGCCAGUUUCUGUUUUUUCCUUGUUUUUGAGUUUUACAGAAAAGGAAUAUCAAAUGGAGUCCAAACGGAAUAAAGCUUUACGAUGAUUUUUCUUGGACCAGUAGACACACGUAGGUCUUGGAGGAGCAAGCAGAAGAAUCCUGGGGAUCCACAAGCCCUCAGGGCGCGCCCUAGGGGGCGCCCUCUUGCUUGUGGGCCCCACGGGGCUCCUCUAACCCUAAUCCUUGGCCUAUAAAUUCCCAAACGACCAGAAGUGUCCACCAAAAUACUUUUCCGCCGCCGUAACCUUCUGUACCCGUGAGAUCCCAUCUUGGGGCCUUUUCCGGUACCCUGUCAGAGGGGGUUUCGAUCAUGGAGGGCUUCUACAUCAACCCUAUUGCCCUUUCCGACGAAGCGUGAGUAGUUUACCAAAGACCUGCGGGUCCAUAGCUAGUAGCUAGAUGGCUUCUUCUCUCUCUUUGAUCCUCAAUACCAUGUUCUGCUUGAUGUUCUUGGAGAUCUAUCUGAUGUAAUCUUCUUUUGCGGUGUAUUUGUCGAGAUCCGAUGAAUUGUGGAUUUAUGAUCAGUUUAUCUAUGAAUAUUAUUUGAAUCUUCUCUGAAUUCUUAUAUACAUGAUUUAAUAUCUUUGUAUUUCUUUUUGAAUUAUCGGUUUGCUUUGGCCAAUAUUUUCUUUAAGUGGGAGAGGUGCUUAGUUUUGGGUUCAAUCUUGCGGUAUCCUCAUCUAGUGACAAAGUAGAGGUAGCGAGACACAUAUUUGUAUUGUUGCCAUCAAAGAUAAAAAGAUGGGGUUUUCAUCAUAUUGCUUGAGUUUAUCCCUCUACAUCAUGUCAUCUUACUUAAGGCGUUACUCCGUUCUUAUGAACUUAAUACUCUAGAUGCAUGCUGGAUAUAGGUCGAUGCGUGGAGUAAUAGUAGUAGAUGCAGGCAGGAGUCGGUCUACUUGACACGGACGUGAUGACUAUAUGCAUAAUCAUUGCCUUAGAUAUCGUCAUAACUUUACGCUUUUCUAUCAAUUGGUCGACAGUAAUUUGUUCACCAACCGUAGUAUCUAUCUAUUAUAUACAUAAAACAGAAGUCAAACGAGCCAUCGUAUUAAUCCACAUAGCUUAAAAUUAUAUCGUCCCUUUGAUUAUAAUAAUAGCGGUUGAGAUUAAAAGAUAUUACGUAACAUCCAAAAACAUAGCAUAUUGAUAUGUCACGUGUACACAAUCAUAAGCUAUAGGCGUGGAAGGACAAAAACAUAGACUACCAUCACAUAAAAAAAACACAUCCAAACACAUAGCAGAUUGUCACGGUUAGACAUGGAGAAGGAAAGACUACCAUCACGUCAAAAAAGAGGACUUGCAUCGUGUCGACAAAAAAAGACUACCAUCACGUGCAAAAAACAAAACUUUUAAUACUACCAUCACGUCCGAAAAAGAGGAAAAAAAAACUACCAUCACGUCAAAAAAAGACUACGUGAAUACAUAGAUGGGUAGCGUUAGUAAUGACCACACGUACAGGGUUUAGGGAUUCACAGCUAUUCACAGUUGUUUUUAUCUUUUCCCCUACUAUUCCUUUUCUAUUUGGAAAAAAUAAAACGUAAAGGGCUGGAGAUACAAUUCACGUUAGAUAGAAAAGGAAAGAGUGAUAGAAAAGGCAAGAGAAACAAAUCGAAGCGACCACGUCAAUCAAGCUUAAAAAAAGGUAAUCGGCCUGAGAUAGAAUUCAUAGUACGAUAGAAAAGGAAGGACAAACGUAAUCAUAGAGACCACAUCAACUGUCCAAAAAAAAAAACACG
rnacentral:lncRNA from 1 species